rnacentral:rRNA from 1 species
UACGGGGGGAGCAAGCGUUGUUCGGAUUUACUGGGCGUAAAGGGCGCGUAGGCGGUCAGCACAAGUCAGUUGUGAAAUCUCCGAGCUUAACUCGGAAAGGUCAACUGAUACUGUGCGACUAGAGUGCGGAAGGGGCAACUGGAAUUCUUGGUGUAAGCGGUGAAAUGCGUAGAUAAUCAAGAGGAACACCUGCGGCGAAGGCGGGUUGCUGGGCCGACACUGACGCUGGAGGCGCGAAAGCUAGGGGAGCGAACGGG